AAUGUACUCCCUCCGUCCGGAAAUACUUGUCAUCAAAAUGAACAAAAGGGGAUGUAUCUAGACGUAUUUUAGUUCUAAAUACAUCCCUUUUUAUUCAUUUUGAUGACAAGUAUUUUCGGACGGAGGGAGUACUAU
rnacentral:pre_miRNA from 1 species